GCGAACGGGUGAGUAACGCGUAGGUAACCUGCCUCUUAGCGGGGGAUAACCAUUGGAAACGAUAGCUAAUACCGCAUAAAAGUCGACAUUGCAUGAUGUUGACUUGAAAGGUGCAAUUGCAUCACUAAGAGAUGGACCUGCGCUGUAUUAGCUAGUUGGUGAGGUAACGGCUCACCAAGGCGACGAUACAUAGCCGACCUGAGAGGGUGAUCGGCCACACUGGGACUGAGACACGGCCCAGACUCCUACGGGAGGCAGCAGUAGGGAAUCUUCGGCAAUGGGGGCAACCCUGACCGAGCAACGCCGCGUGAGUGAAGAAGGUUUUCGGAUCGUAAAGCUCUGUUGUAAGAGAAGAACGAGUGUGAGAGUGGAAAGUUCACACUGUGACGGUAACUUACCAGAAAGGGACGGCUAACUACGUGCCAGCAGCCGCGGUAAUACGUAGGUCCCGAGCGUUAUCCGGAUUUAUUGGGCGUAAAG
rnacentral:rRNA from 1 species